rnacentral:rRNA from 1 species
CCCUUAGACGUUCUGGGCCGCACGCGCGCUACACUGACCAGUGCAACAAGCAUCCGUCCUUGACCGAGAGGUCCGGGUAAUCUUUGAAACUGCAUCGUGAUGGGGCUAGAUUAUUGCAAUUAUUAAUCUUCAACGAGGAAUGCCUAGUAAGCGUGAUUCAUCAAAUCGCGUUGAUUACGUCCCUGCCCUUUGUACACACCGCCCGUCGCACCUACCGAUUGAAUGGUCCGGUGAAGCCUCCGGAUUGCACAGGCCCCGUGUCUGGCGCGAGAAGUUGGCUACCUUACCAUUUAGAGGAAGGUGAAGUCGUANCA